rnacentral:rRNA from 1 species
AUUGAACGCUGGCGGCAGGCCUAACACAUGCGAGUCGAGCGGAUGAAGGGAGCUUGCUCCUGGAUUCAGCGGCGGACGGGUGAGUAAUGCCUAGGAAUCUGCCUGGUAGUGGGGGAUAACGUCCGGAAACGGGCGCUAAUACCGCAUACGUCCUGAGGGAGAAAGUGCGGGAUCUUCGGACCUCACGCUAUCAGAUGAGCCUAGGUCGGAUUAGCUAGUUGGUGGGGUAAAGGCCUACCAAGGCGACGAUCCGUAACUGGUCUGAGAGGAUGAUCAGUCACACUGGAACUGAGACACGGUCCAGACUCCUACGGGAGGCAGCAGUGGGGAAUAUUGGACAAUGGGCGAAAGCCUGAUCCAGCCAUGCCGCGUGUGUGAAGAAGGUCUUCGGAUUGUAAAGCACUUUAAGUUGGGAGGAAGGGCAGUAAGUUAAUACCUUGCUGUUUUGACGUUACCAACAGAAUAAGCACCGGCUAACUUCGUG